UACAGAGGGGGCGAGCGUUGUUCGGAAUUACUGGGCGUAAAGGGCGCGUAGGCGGCCCGCUAAGUCGAACGUGAAAUCCCCAGGCUCAACCUGGGAACUGCGUCCGAUACUGGCAGGCUUGAAUCCGGGAGAGGGAUGUGGAAUUCCAGGUGUAGCGGUGAAAUGCGUAGAUAUCUGGAGGAACACCGGUGGCGAAGGCGCCACUCUGGGCCGAAACUGACGCUGAGGAGCGAAAGCGUGGGUAGCAAACAGG
rnacentral:rRNA from 1 species